rnacentral:rRNA from 1 species
AUGAUCCCGGCCGGUGCUGCAGCUGCUGCUGGUGGAAUUGUUGCUCCUCCUCCCGGAGGGGUGAUGCGCAUCCGCGCGGUGGCAUGGGCGCACAUCGUCCUCGGGUGGGCCACCGCCCUCCUCGCUGUCCUCGCCGUCAACCUCCAGCCGCAGCUGCAGGGGACGUGCACGACCACCGAGGAUGAGGUGGCGCACAUGCGCGCCGACGCGCUGCUGCUGCUGCUGUCCAGCGCCGCCCAGGCCGCGGCGGCCACGGUGGCCGCCUUCGCGUCGGAGGACUGGCGCAAGGGAGUGCCCUGGACCUUCGCUGCCUUCGCCCACGGGAUGGGUGUCGCCACCUUCCACCGCCUCGACAACGUCGUCUUCUUGGCGGCGCUCGUCACCGUCGGGAGCUGCCCCGGCAGCCAGCUGCUCGUCCACGGGACCCCGCUGGUAGCCCACUUCAUCCUGCUCGCGGUGCCCCUCGGUCUCUUCUUCCUGCUCGGCGUCAGCACGUUGAUCUCCGCCCUGGUAUACCCUUAG